rnacentral:rRNA from 1 species
CGAGUGCCCCGAGCGUUAUCCGGAAUUAUUGGGCGUAAAGGGUGUGUAGGUGGUUGUAUUAGUCUUCUGUGAAAUUCUUCGGCUUAACCGGGGUCCCGCAGGAGAAACGGUACAACUAGAGGAUGCGAGAGGUGAAUGGAACUCAUGGAGUAGGGGUGAAAUCCGUUGAUAUCAUGGGGAACACCAAAUGCGAAGGCAAUUCACUGGCGCACUCCUGACACUGAGACACGAAAGCGUAGGUAGCGAAGAGGAUUAGAUACCCUCGUAGUCUACGCCCUAAACGAUCCAGACUGGGUUUUCGGAGUAUCGACCCUCUGAGAGCCGAAGCUAACGCGUUAAGUCUGGCGCCUGGGUAGUACGGCCGCAAGGCUA